rnacentral:tRNA from 1 species
GCAGUGGUGGUUCGGUGGUAGAAUUCUCAUCUUCAAUGGGGGAGACCUAGGUUCAAUUCCCAGCCAAUGCG